GGGUGCAGUGGCUUCGACCUGGGCGUCGUACCGCCUGGGGGAAGCGGGCCGAGGUCCCCGGAACCUCGUACCAAAGCCGGGAACCUGAACAAGCGCCAACCACGAGUUCGCGCUCGCUGCCUAAGACCUAGGCGGCCGUCCGUCCGGGUCCGCCUGCGACCCGGGUGCGGGCGUCACCGAGCAGGCUCGCGGCGGCGGCUCCGCCCGGCGGCCGCCGCCGGACACCCGACCGGGCUGGCCGACGGGCCCUCCGCCUGCGGGAGGCCCGGAGGCGAGAUCGCACCGCAGGCUGCGCCCGGAGAAGCCCCAGCCGGUCGCCCGGGGACGCGGGUUCGAUCCCCGCCACCUCCACGA
rnacentral:tmRNA from 1 species